GUCUAUGGCUAUACCACUCUGAAUGCACCCAAUCCUGUCUGAUCUUAAAAGCUAAGCAGGGUUGGGCCUGAUUAAUAUUUAGAUGGGAAAGAAUGCAAAAGAGGAAUGGGACU
rnacentral:rRNA from 1 species